rnacentral:rRNA from 1 species
AGAGUUUGAUCCUGGCUCAGAACGAACGCUGGCGGCAUGCUUAACACAUGCAAGUCGAACGAGGUCAGGGGCUUGCUCCUGGCCUAGUGGCGAACGGGUGAGUAACGCGUGGGAACCUGCCUUGGAGUGGGGGAUAACCACUGGAAACGGUGGCUAAUACCGCAUAUGGCCUGAGGGUCAAAGGCUUCGGCCGCUUUGAGAGGGGCCCGCGUCCGAUUAGGUAGUUGGUGGGGUAACGGCCUACCAAGCCUUCGAUCGGGAGCUGGUCUGAGAGGAUGAUCAGCCACACUGGGACUGCGACACGGCCCAGACUCCUACGGGAGGCAGCAGUGGGGAAUAUUGGACAAUGGGCGCAAGCCUGAUCCAGCAAUGCCGCGUGCGUGAUGAAGGCCUUCGGGUUGUAAAGCGCUUUCGCCCACGACGAUGAUGACGGUAGUGGGAGAAGAAGCCCCGGCUAACUCCGUGCCAGCAGCCGCGGUAAUACGGAGGGGGCUAGCGUUGUUCGGAAUUACUGGGCGUAAAGGGUGCGUAGGCGGCUGUUCAAGUCAGACGUGAAAGGCCUGGGCUCAACCUGGGAACUGCGUUUGAGACUGGACGGCUUGAGUCCGGGAGAGGUGAGCGGAAUUCCCAGUGUAGAGGUGAAAUUCGUAGAUAUUGGGAAGAACACCGGGCGAAGGCGGCUCACUGGACCGGUACUGACGCUGAGGCACGAAAGCGUGGGGAGCAAACAGGAUUAGAUACCCUAGUAGUCC